AGACCCGAAACCCGGUGAUCUAGCCAUGGGCAGGUUGAAGGUUGGGUAACACUAACUGGAGGACCGAACCGACUAAUGUUGAAAAAUUAGCGGAUGACCUGUGGCUGGGGGUGAAAGGCCAAUCAAACCGGGAGAUAGCUGGUUCUCCCCGAAAGCUAUUUAGGUAGCGCCUCGUGAAUUCAUCUCCGGGGGUAGAGCACUGUUUCGGCUAGGGGGCCAUCCCGGCUUACCAACCCGAUGCAAACUGCGAAUACCGGAGAAUGUUAUCACGGGAGACACACGGCGGGUGCUAACGUCCGUCGUGAAGAGGGAAACAACCCAGACCGCCAGCUAAGGUCCCAAAGUCAUGGUUAAGUGGGAAACGAUGUGGGAAGGCCCAGACAGCCAGGAUGUUGGCUUAGAAGCAGCCAUCAUUUAAAGAAAGCGUAAUAGCUCACUGGUCGAGUCGGCCUGCGCGGAAGAUGUAACGGGGCUAAACCAUGCACCGAAGCUGCGGCAGCGACGCUUAUGCGU
rnacentral:rRNA from 10 species